rfam:Hordeum vulgare subsp. vulgare, WGS project CAJW01000000 data, contig: morex_contig_401367
GUAGUACUCCUUCCGUCCCAAAAUUCUUGUCUUAAAUUUGUCUAUAUAUGAAUGUAUCUAGUCAUGGUUUAGUAUUUAGAUACAUCCAUGUGUAGACAAUGCUAAGACAAGAAUUUUGGAACGGAGGGAGUAUUGA